rnacentral:rRNA from 1 species
UUGCACGCUGGCGGCAUGCUUUACCCAUGCAAGUCGAACGGUAACAGGCCUUCGGGUGCUGACGAGUGGCGAACGGGUGAGUAAUGCAUCGGAACGUACCCAGAGGUGGGGGAUAACGCAGCGAAAGCUGUGCUAAUACCGCAUGUGAUCUGAGGAUGAAAGCGGGGGACCGCGCAGCAAUGUUUGGCCUCGCGCCUUUGGAGCGGCCGAUGUCGGAUUAGCUAGUUGGUGGGGUAAAGGCCUACCAAGGCGACGAUCCGUAGCUGGUCUGAGAGGACGACCAGCCACACUGGAACUGGGAACGGGCCAGACUCCUACGGGAGGCAGCAGUGGGGAAUUUUGGACAAUGGGCGCAAGCCUGAUCCAGCAAUGCCGCGUGCGGGAAGAAGGCCUUCGGGUUGUAAACCGCUUUUGGCAGGAACGAAACGGUGUCCGCUAAUACCGGGCGCUAAUGACGGUACCUGCAGAAUAAGCACCGGCUAACUACGUG